AUCAGAGGUCUGGAGGUGACAGAUUUGUACCUGUACGAGCACAGAGAACAACACACACCAACUGUUUUAGUGUCUCUGUGAAAUCCAACAUAUAACUGAGUGUAAAGUACAACUAGUAUUGUCAUGUUAUUAACUGGUAGUGUACAGCUGUAUAAUUCUUUAUUUUCUGUAAUAAAAUGCACUGUAUCUGCAGUGUUGGUUGUAGAAACUUGAACACAGAUCAGAGUGUAGUGUUUGUAGGCUGCUCGCUCUCACAUGUGUAUGUUAUGUACAUGACCUAAUGUUCUUAUAAUAAAUUGUAGCUGAGAGAUUGUGGAGUGCAGAAAGACGUCCCUGCUCCUGUAAAUGUGCUGAUGUGGUGUCCUGUCCUCUGAUUUGUGUGUGUGACACAAACACACUGACAUUUCUGUUACAUCUUCAACUUUAGCUGGAUUGUGGCUGUGUUUGUGUGUUUGAGAUCAGUGUUCUGAUAUUUCAUCAUUUCUCUUCCAGUCUGUGUGGGUGUAAUCUGACAGAGGAAAGCUGUAGAGUUCUGUCCUCAGUUCUCAGCUCAAACUCCUCCAGUCUGAGAGAACUGAACCUGAGUGGCAAUAAACUGCAGGAUUCAGGAGUGAAGCUGCUCUCUGAUGGACUGAAGAAUACACACUGUACACUGGAGAAACUGAGGUACACACACACAUACAGUACACACACACACACACACACACUGUGUUUAAGCUGCUUUGUAAAUGUAUUUAGUGAAGGUGACUGAUGGAUAAACACUGAGAGUGAGAUCCACAUCCUGGGAGCAGCGACACUAAAAGCAGUUUGACUGAAGCUUCUUCUUAUUAAAAUUCACCUUAAGGAAGUCAGCAUUUGUUGAUGAUAAAUAAAUAUUUGAGAUGAUAUUAAAAUGAUUGUGGAUGUCACAGGUAACCAGUACAGUUCCUGUACAAUAGGAGUGAUUUGGUUACUAACUGUAAUGUAUAAAGGGUUUUUUAGUGAAAUACAUAAAAGAGCGUUACAUUAAUCUAAUCUACUUGGAAUGAUUGAAUGUAGAAAAAGUUUUUCUGUUUCUUCUUUACAUUAAAAUGGACAAAUUCUUUCAGUGUUCCUCAAAUGAUAAAAUGUGACUUUAGAGAUAUUAUUGAUGUGAGGAACAAAGCUGAGGUCAGAGUCGACUAUUACACCCAGAUUUCUAACCUGUAUCCCAGCUCAUUGUGUUCAGGUAGACACUUUAUUUCUCACUGAUGGAAACACCUCAUUUCACUAUAAAUCAAACACUUCAUCAUUUCUCUUCCAGUCUGCGUCUCUGUGAUCUGACAGAGGAAAGCUGUAGAGUUCUGUCCUCAGUUCUCAGCUCAAACUCCUCCAGUCUGAGAGAACUGAACCUGAGUGACAAUAAACUGCAGGAUUCAGGAGUGAAGCUGCUCUCUGAUGGACUGAAGAAUCCACACUGUACACUGGAGAUACUGAGGUUUUCUUUCUUGCAGGAUGCGGGACUGCUGUAUUACAGAUGAAGGUUGUGCUGCUCUGGCUUCAGCUCUGAGGUCAAACUCCUCAUCACACCUGAGAGAACUGGAUCUGAAUGGUAAUAAACCAGGAGAAUCAGGAGUGAAGCUGCUCUCUGAUCUACUGAAGGAUCCACACUGUAAACUGGAGACACUACACAUUAAGGAUAAGACACUCACCAGGUCUGGUGUAUGACAGGAGUCUCUCCUCAGACCUUUUUUCCAGGAUAAAUCAGUUAUGGAGGUGAAGCGUUAGAACACGUCCCACAUUUCCAGCAGUUUGGGAGCUGAAUCAUUCAUAUUCAGAUGUAGAAGAUCCAUAACAAUAACUGUGACUGAUCACAUCCUUUUAUCCUCUCAGCUACAACUUCACACUUUAACAUCUUUUACAAUCCAAAGUCAAAUCCUUCAGCAUCUACACACAACACAGAGAUAUCAUCACAUCAUCACACUGAUUACACAAAUACACAUCCAUGUGUUACACAUGUUUAUGUUCUUUAUUUUUUAUCUCAAAUUUGGUUCUCCACAGAUGAUUGACUCACAUGUGAUGUGAUGUUGAUUUAUUUAUUUUCCUUUAAAAGUGUCUUCCUUUCAAAACCUUUUCAUAGAAUUGAGUUCUUUCUCUUCUAUACAUUCCAGUUCUAUUUCUUUUAUUUCUUUGUUCUCUUUGCCCAAUUCUUUCUCUAAUUUAAAAGAUAGUACUUCUGUCUUUCUUUCUUUCUUUCUUUCUUUCUUUCUUUCUUUCUCCCAUUCUACAUUAUUAAAUAAAAAUCUAACAUUAUCUUCCUCCUUCAUUUCAUUUCCUUUUUCUUUUUCUAUAAUUUCUCUAAUCUUAAAAUCAUUUUUUCUUUAAACUGUCUGUAUUUAGAAUCCAUACACUUUGUUCCCUUUCUACAUUAUUCCAGUCUUAAAAAAUAAAAACUCAUGAUACUCAAACGUGUUUCCUUAUAUUUGAUUUUGUCUGUAAAGUUUUCUACAUUUCUUGUACAUAAAAUAGUCAAUCUUUGUCCUGCAGGUUUUUCACUAUAUCUCUUCUUUUCUUCCUACAUUUCUCUCUCUCCACAUGUCUAUCAGGUUGUUUUCAUUCAUUAGAUCCUUUAGUUCUUUUCUCUCUGUAUCUGAUUUAAUAACCAUCCCAUCUGCCAUAUGGAGUUUACUGAAAACAGUCACUGCAAGUCCCAUCAUUAUUAUUUCUUUAUGCUUCUUUAAAAUUCUUUUUAAAGGAUUAAAUAAUUCUUUCUUUUCUUUUUUA